GUGCUUGUCUAGCGUGCACAAGGCCCUGGAUUUGAUCCCCAGCAGCACAGAAAAAUUAGGUUGGAAUAAUACAGAGACCAGCAUGGCCCCUGUGCAAGGACGACACGCAAAUCUGUAAAGCUUUCCAAACUUUG
rnacentral:snRNA from 1 species